CCCUUAGACGUUCUGGGCCGCACGCGCGCUACACUGACCAGUGCAACAAGCAUCCGUCCUUGGCCGACAGGCUCGGGCAAUCUUUGAACGCUGGUCGUGAUGGGGAUAGACUUUUGCAAUUUUUGGUCUUCAACGAGGAAUUCCUAGUAAACGCAAGUCAUCAACUUGCAUUGAUUACGUCCCUGCCCUUUGUACACACCGCCCGUCGCUCCUACCGAUUGAAUGGUCCGGUGAAGCGUUCGGACCGUGGCCUUUGGACGGUUCGCCGUCUGUUGGCUGCGGGAAGUUCGUUAAACCUUAUCAUUUAGAGGAAGGAGAANUCGUANCA
rnacentral:rRNA from 1 species